rnacentral:rRNA from 1 species
AACACAUGCAAGUCGAACGGCAGCACAGAGGAGCUUGCUCCUUGGGUGGCGAGUGGCGGACGGGUGAGGAAUACAUCGGAAUCUACUCUGUCGUGGGGGAUAACGUAGGGAAACUUACGCUAAUACCGCAUACGACCUACGGGUGAAAGCAGGGGAUCUUCGGACCUUGCGCGAUUGAAUGAGCCGAUGUCGGAUUAGCUAGUUGGCGGGGUAAAGGCCCACCAAGGCGACGAUCCGUAGCUGGUCUGAGAGGAUGAUCAGCCACACUGGAACUGAGACACGGUCCAGACUCCUACGGGAGGCAGCAGUGGGGAAUAUUGGACAAUGGGCGCAAGCCUGAUCCAGCCAUACCGCGUGGGUGAAGAAGGCCUUCGGGUUGUAAAGCCCUUUUGUUGGGAAAGAAAUCCAACUGGUUAAUACCCGGUUGGGAUGACGGUACCCAAAGAAUAAGCACCGGCUAACUUCGUGCCAGCAGCCGCGGUAAUACGAAGGGUGCAAGCGUUACUCGGAAUUACUGGGCGUAAAGCGUGCGUAGGUGGUUAUUUAAGUCCGUUGUGAAAGCCCUGGGCUCAACCUGGGAACUGCAGUGGAUACUGGAUGACUAGAAUGUGGUAGAGGGUAGCGGAAUUCCUGGUGUAGCAGUGAAAUGCGUAGAGAUCAGGAGGAACAUCCAUGGCGAAGGCAGCUACCUGGACC